rnacentral:rRNA from 1 species
UGUUCCUACGGGGGGCAGCAGUGGGGAAUAUUGGGCAAUGGACGCAAGUCUGACCCAGCAACGCCGCGUGAAGGAAGAAGGCUUUCGGGUUGUAAACUUCUUUUAAGGGGGAAGAGCAGAAGACGGUACCCCUUGAAUAAGCCACGGCUAACUACGUGCCAGCAGCCGCGGUAAUACGGAGGAUGCGAGCGUUAUCCGGAUUUAUUGGGUUUAAAGGGUGCGUAGGCGGAUCGUUAAGUCAGUGGUCAAAUUGAGGGGCUCAACCCCUUCCCGCCAUUGAAACUGGCGCUCUUGAGUGGAAGAGG